AUUGAACGCUGGCGGCAUGCCUUACACAUGCAAGUCGAACGGUAACAGGUCUUCGGAUGCUGACGAGUGGCGAACGGGUGAGCAAUACAUCGGAACGUGCCUAGUAGUGGGGGAUAACUACUCGAAAGAGUGGCUAAUACCGCAUGAGAUCUACGGAUGAAAGCAGGGGAUCGCAAGACCUUGUGCUACUAGAGCGGCCGAUGGCAGAUUAGGCAGUUGGUGGGAUAAAAGCUUACCAAGCCGACGAUCUGUAGCUGGUCUGAGAGGACGAUCAGCCAGACGGGGACGGAGACACUGCCCAGACUCCUACGGGAGGCAGCAGUGGGAAAUGUUGGACAAUGGGCGCAAGCCUGAUCCAGCAAUGCCGCGUGCAGGAUGAAGGCCUUCGGGUUGUAAGCUGCUUUUGUACGGAACGAAAAGCCAUAGGUUAAUACCCUGGGGUCAUGACGGUACCGUAAGAAUAAGCACCGGCUAACUACGUGCCAGCCGCCGCGGUAA
rnacentral:rRNA from 1 species